UCACGAGAUCUAGUAAUGCAGUCAUCAGCUGCGUGAUACGUCUGCCCUUGUACACACGCCGUCGCUCUACGAUGAGUGAUCCGUGAGCUGUCGGACUGCGAUAGUCAGUUCUGUCUCUCGCGGGAAGUCUGCAAACUAUCACUAGAGGAAGGAGAAGUCGUAACAAGGUUUCUGUAGGUGAACUGCGGAAGGAUCAUUC
rnacentral:ncRNA from 1 species